rnacentral:tRNA from 1 species
CCUGAUUGCUCAGUUGGUAAAGAAUCUGCCCACAAUGCAGAAGACCCAGGUUGGAUUCCUGGGUCAGGA